rnacentral:rRNA from 1 species
UACAUGUGGGGCAAGCGUUGUUCGGAAUUACUGGGCAUAAAGGGUGCGUAGGCGGUUUGUUAAGUCACAGGUGAAAGUUUUCGGCCCAACCGGAAAAUUGCCUGCGAUACUGGCGAACUUGAGUGCGUGAGGGGUUGGGGGAACGAGCAGUGUAGCGGUGAAAUGCGUAGAUAUUGCUCGGAAGGCCGGAGCCGAAGGGGCCCAACUGGUGCGCAACUGACGCUGAUGCACGAAAGCGUGGGGAGCAAACAGG